AUUGAACGCUGGCGGCCUUCCUUCCCCCUUCACUUCUCCCUUCAUCACGUGUGCUUUCCCCUUUUUUCUAUUGGCGAACGGGUGAGUAAUACAUCGGAACAUUUCCUGUAGUGGGGGAUAGCCCGGCUCACUCCGGAUUAAUACCUCAUCCUAUCUACGGAUGAAAUCUUGGUACCUUCGGGCCUCGCGCUAUAUGUUUGGCCGAUGGCUGAUUAGCUAGUUGGUGGGGUAAAGGCCUACCAAGGCGACGAUCCGUCUCUGGUCUGAGAGGACGACCAGCCACAAUGGGACUGAGAAACGGCCCAGACUCAUACGGGAGGCAGCAGUGGGGAAUUUUGGACAAUGGGCGAAAGCCUGAUCCAGCAAUGCCGCGUGUGUGAAGAAGGCCUUCGGGUUGUAAAGAAAGGGGGUAAGGAAAGAAAUCCUUGGACCUAAUACGGUAGGGGGAUGAAGGUACAGGAAGAAUAAGCAAAGGAGAAAUACGGG
rnacentral:rRNA from 1 species